rnacentral:lncRNA from 1 species
UUGGUUUAAAAUUGCAUUGGCUUUCAAUAUCAAUCCUCCCGUUGCAUACGAGUUGAUACCUGUUGAUUUGAAUCCAAUCUGCUACUGCUGUUACGUUUACUGUUGCUCACUGCUCCUAUUUCUCAUUGUAUUUCGAAUUCCAGGGAUUAUCCUUGGCCUCGUCUGGAUUGUGAAGGAUCCAUGUAAUUUUCUGAUUUGGAGGCUAAAUGAUGAAGAGCUUGAGUUAAUUGCUGAAUUUUCUUGGUAAACAGUCACGUUUAUAUAAAACAUCUGUAUCGUUUGUAUAAAUUUUGGACUGUAUUGACUGAUG